rnacentral:rRNA from 1 species
AUUGAACGCUGGCGGCAUGCUUUACACAUGCAAGUCGAACGGUAACAGGUUAAGCUGACGAGUGGCGAACGGGUGAGUAAUGUAUCGGAACGUGCCCAGUCGUGGGGGAUAACGUAGCGAAAGCUACGCUAAUACCGCAUACGACCUCUGGAUGAAAGCGGGGGACCGCAAGGCCUCGCGCGAUUGGAGCGGCCGAUAUCAGACUAGGUAGUUGGUGGGGUAAAGGCCCACCAAGCCAACGAUCUGUAGCUGGUCUGAGAGGACGACAAGCCAGACUGGGACUGAGAAACGGCACAGACUACUACGGGAGGCAACAGUGGGGAAUUUUGGACAAUGGGGGCAACCCUGAUCCAGCAAUGCCGCGUGCAGGAAGAAGGCCUUCGGGUUGUAAACUGCUUUUGUACGGAACGAAAAGGCUCUGGUUAAUACCUGGGGCUCAUGACGGUACCGUAAGAAUAAGCACCGGCUAAGUACGUGCCAGCAGCCGCAGUAA